AGAGUUUGAUCCUGGCUCAGGACGAACGCUGGCGGCGUGCCUAAUACAUGCAAGUAGAACGCUGAAGAGAGGAGCUUGCUCUUCUUGGAUGAGUUGCGAACGGGUGAGUAACGCGUAGGUAACCUGCCUUGUAGCGGGGGAUAACUAUUGGAAACGAUAGCUAAUACCGCAUAACAAUGGGUGACACAUGUCAUUUAUUUGAAAGGGGCAAUUGCUCCACUACAAGAUGGACCUGCGUUGUAUUAGCUAGUAGGUGAGGUAACGGCUCACCUAGGCGACGAUACAUAGCCGACCUGAGAGGGUGAUCGGCCACACUGGGACUGAGACACGGCCCAGACUCCUACGGGAGGCAGCAGUAGGGAAUCUUCGGCAAUGGGGGCAACCCUGACCGAGCAACGCCGCGUGAGUGAAGAAGGUUUUCGGAUCGUAAAGCUCUGUUGUAAGUCAAGAACGAGUGUGAGAGUGGAAAGUUCACACUGUGACGGUAGCUUACCAGAAAGGGACGGCUAACUACGUGCCAGCAGCCGCGGUAAUACGUAGGUCCCGAGCGUUGUCCGGAUUUAUUGGGCGUAAAGCGAGCGCAGGCGGUUAGAUAAGUCUGAAGUUAAAGGCUGUGGCUUAACCAUAGUACGCUUUGGAAACUGUUUAACUUGAGUGCAGAAGGGGAGAGUGGAAUUCCAUGUGUAGCGGUGAAAUGCGUAGAUAUAUGGAGGAACACCGGUGGCGAAAGCGGCUCUCUGGUCUGUAACUGACGCUGAGGCUCGAAAGCGUGGGGAGCAAACAGGAUUAGAUACCCUGGUAGUCCACGCCGUAAACGAUG
rnacentral:rRNA from 1 species